rnacentral:lncRNA from 1 species
CCGAGGCCCGCGCCCCCUCCUCACCUGCAUUCAGCGCGCCAGGGUCCGGGCGGCGGCGACGACGGCGGCGGCGGGGCGGCUGCUGCUGGGGCUGCGGCGGCGGGGGAGGCGGCGGCGGCGGUGGCGGCGGGGCUGAGGGCAGUAAAGACAUGCAGGCAGCCCGCCGGGGGGAGAGGCACCGGCCGGAGGGGACGCGGGGCGGGUGGGCCGGGCCGGGCCGCCUGAGGAACCACCGAGGCGGCGGAGGGCUGCCGAAGGGAGCGCAGAGCAGACGGAUCAGGGGGCGGGGAAGGGGAACGCGGGCCGCGCCGCGCCGGACCUGGGCGACCCGGGCGCGCAGGAGAGGGCCCGCGGUCGCCGGAGACGCGGCUGCCGCUGCUGCGAGAGCCUCGCGGAGCCCGCCCUUGGCCUUGGCCUUCUGGCGCUGAGGCUGCCGCCGCUGCGGGGGUUGCUGCCGAGCCGGGUGGUUGCCGAGGCCGGGGCCGAGCAGAGAGAGAAAGACAGGGAGAGAAGAGAGACGCGAGCUUUCGGUGCCUUCGCUCUAAUUCACACACGCUCACAACCCCGAGGGCCGGGGAGAGGAGUCCGGGCGCUAUCGCUUUAGAGAUUAAUAACAAGGUGCAGAGAGUGCGAGGAGGAGGAGGAGGAGGAGGAGAGUUGAUUGACGUGGAGGGGCUGGCGGGAGUCAGUCACUCCCCCGCGCCGAGGGGUGGGGUGAGGGAAGGGGCGGGGCUCCGGCGCCGCGGUUCGGGAGGUGCGCGUGCGUGUGGGGCGGCCAAGCUCCCGGCUGGCUUCCUUCCUCGCCCUCGCUGGUGUUUUGAAAAAAAAAAAAAUCUGCUUUAUUAGAUUGAGCGGAGAGUAGAGCCGAGAGGACUUGUACGAUUAGCAAAGCCCACGCGCUUAUGGGGAUGGGGAAGGGACACGCGGGUGCUUGCACUGUUCCCCUGCCGCUGGCCCACGCAGGCCCACAGCAGAGCUCAGGGCAUUCUGGGUGGUUCAGGAGACCUCAGACUGGAUUUUGAUUCACCUGUGUAACGGGCUCCAAUCCUGGACUCAAUGGGAAGGAGAGAACCAGUGAAACGCCUACAUUCCUUUUCUUCAGUGGUUUGCUUAACUGUGAGCUUCUGCGGUGCCUUCCCCUCCAAGCAAUCUCUGUGAGCCCGAAUAUUCCCUCCUUCCUUCCUCAAGGUGCCUUUUCUGGUUAGGUAAUUAACAACAACAACUAGAAAAGUAACUGGCAUGUAUACUGAGCAUAGAUAACUA